GCGUGCGGGAAGAAGGCCUUCGGGUUGUAAACCGCUUUUGUCAGGGAAGAAAAGGUUCUGGUUAAUACCUGGGACUCAUGACGGUACCUGAAGAAUAAGCACCGGCUAACUACGUGCCAGCAGCCGCGGUAAUACGUAGGGUGCAAGCGUUAAUCGGAAUUACUGGGCGUAAAGCGUGCGCAGGCGGUUAUGCAAGACAGAGGUGAAAUCCCCGGGCUCAACCUGGGAACUGCCUUUGUGACUGCAUAGCUAGAGUACGGUAGAGGGGGAUGGAAUUCCGCGUGUAGCAGUGAAAUGCGU
rnacentral:rRNA from 1 species